rnacentral:rRNA from 1 species
UACAGAGGUCGCAAGCGUUGUUCGGAUUUACUGGGCGUAAAGGGCGCGUAGGCGGCGCGGUAAGUCGGAUGUGAAAUCUCCGGGCUCAACCCGGAAAGUGCGUCCGAAACUGCCAUGCUCGAGUGCGGGAGAGGGAAUCGGAAUACAGGGUGUAGCGGUGAAAUGCGUUGAUAUCCUGUAGAACACCGGAGGCGAAGGCGGAUUCCUGGAACGCAACUGACGCUAAGGCGCGAAAGUCGGGGGAG